UACUUCUUUUAAUCCAACCAUGACCAUUUAGUCCUAAUUUUCUUGGGGGAAUAAUGAUUCGUGUAUGUAUACUAAUAGAAUGAGGAUGACCCUAUUGCUCUCUUCCUAUUUCAUUCAUCCCAAAGAAUCACAUGAGCCAGCAUCUCCAGGGGAAUAGACCAAUAGGAGAAAUGGAUAUAGUGUUGAGCUGGUUUAGACCCUACUGUCCCUAGUACAUAACAGAAGUCUUCCAUGGGAAAAGAAUCCUAAAAAGUGAAUAUGUCAAGAUUAAUGUGAAAGUAUUACUCUAUUACAAAGCUACAUUGACAACAGCAAGAACUGCUCAGAGAUAGAAGCAGAUUUUGACUCAACCAGUGCUAAAUUCAACCUAAUCUUAAGAACCCAACAUAUGAAAUAAUUCCAGAUUCAAAUGAGCUUCAGAGGCCUUUCUGACUGUAAGAAAGAAUUGAAAUGACUGUCCAGAGUACAUCCAGGAUUUCGUGUUAUCAGUGGGGUGCUUAUAACCAGCAAGAGAUCUUCCAGAGCCACUUCGUCCGUCUAAUAGAUCUUUCUGGAAGCUUCCAGCUCCCCAAAUGUGAAUGCAGUCAGUCUAUAGCUUUAUUAUUCAACCCAACUUUCCUCCUAAAGAUUGUGCCAAACCUUGAUGCUUAAACUGUGCCAUUAGGAGCAUCUUGGCUUUCUUUCCAUACAAUUUGUAUUUGUAACUGGGUAGAUUUUUACUCUGGGACUUUUAUAGCCUUUAUAAUAUUAAAAAGUGAGUCGUGGAUCUGCUCUCUGGCUUUUGAGAGGCCUGGACUGGAUACUGUAUAAGUGUAUGUCCGUGUCUUCCCCUGUUUCUACCAUGUACAAUCAUGCAGCUGAAGGUAAAAGGCUAUCCCUGUAGCCUCAUCUCCGCUAUUUGAGGCCAAACAUGUAACUGAUGAAGCAGGCAGAUUCCUGGCUACACUGUGACUAAACAAAGGGUCACUGCAUACACAAAACCAGGACACUGGUAAAUUCACCAUGAAAAGAAAAGUCUGGUGUCAGUGGGUUGAGGCUGAACUAUAAUAACUUUUAAUGUUCCUCAGUUGAGUUAUUCUUAAUUUAUACUUCUCAAAUGCUACAUUGUAGUCAGGUAUGGUGAUAUAUACCUGCAAUCAGCAAUUGGAAGGCUGUGACAAAAAGAUCAUGAAUUCAA